UACGUAGGGGGCAAGCGUUGUCCGGAAUCAUUGGGCGUAAAGGGCGCGUAGGCGGCCGAUCAAGUCGGGGGUGAAAGCCUGUGGCUCAACCACAGAAUUGCCUUCGAUACUGUUUGGCUUGAGACCGGAAGAGGUAAGUGGAACUGCGAGUGUAGAGGUGAAAUUCGUAGAUAUUCGCAAGAACACCAGUGGCGAAGGCGGCUUACUGGUCCGGUUCUGACGCUGAGGCGCGAAAGCGUGGGGAGCAAACAGG
rnacentral:rRNA from 1 species